UUGUUUUGAAAUUAGCUUUAGUCAUGGUGAAGUCAGCAGGGGCCCCGGAAGUGAAAAGCCAAGUCAGCCACUCAGUGGAGAGCUUGGGGCCCGGGUUGGGGUUUUCUGCUGAGAGCUGGUGGCCAGCAGCUUUCGGGAACCACAUGGCUUUGCUUGGUGGGGCUCAGCUUGGAGUGGACAGGGAGUACAGUGGAAUGCAGGCACUUCAGGGAAGGCGGCCUUCUGUGGUCCAUGCCAGAGAGGGACAGGAGCCUGCGGCUGCUGUUUGCUGACCCUCUGUACACAUCCGUGCUGGCCAUGACCUUUCCUUUGCCUUUAUCCUUGCACCCAACACAGCUCUGUGGGAGGCUGAUUUCAGGCUGUCUGGGCUCAGAUCCAACUUCUGUGACGGCUUCUCCCAGCAUCAUGUCAGAGGCAGGGGUUUAAUAUCAUCGAUGGCAGAAAGGGUAGUAGCAGAGGUGGUUAUUUAAAUAUUUAACCUCCGGACAGCCUAGGUGUGGGCCAAUCGGACUGCCUGGAGCAGAGUUCUGGGGCUCUGCUGUGCUAGGUAUUAACCCUGUCACUGCCGGGUCCUGGGGAGCAUCCUGGAGAGGGACAUCGUGCGCUGCUGAGGUGGCAGGUAGGCACUCAGGGGAUGGGGCAGGGGGCUAUUCAACCAUGGGCACAGCAGCACUUUGCUCUAAAGAGCUUGUAUGGCCACACUGAUGGGCACCGGCAGGUCGCUAGUCUUGAAGAGCAGAGUUAUCAGUGUUGUUUCUGCAGGUUGGGGAGACAGGGAGCUGACGUUCACCAUGCACAGAGCUCAUGCUUAUUUAUCUUUUGUAGUUUAUUUUAUUUAUUCCUACUCUGUUU
rnacentral:lncRNA from 1 species